GUAGCAUGUGCCGGGAGGAUGGGAAAGCAUGUCUGCAGACAGCCCUGCAAUGUUGAAUUUCAUUGUUAGUCAGAGUGAUAAGAUUGAUCAGAGCAAUCCUGAAGGAGAAAGGGAAGACCUGGAACGGGUCCACUGUAGCAGUCGAUGUUGAGUGCCAGUACUUUACUGCUAUGGGAAUGCAGUAAAGCAUGCAUUCUGCUGAGUGGUCCCUAUAGGUCCUUCUGUUGAUCUUACCACAGAGAGGUGUGUUGUAAAAACUGAGUAAGAGAAUUCUCAUUGAAGCCCCUGAGAGCUUCAGUGCUGAGAAAAGUCAGGUUAAGGAUUUCAGUUUCCCUACAAUGCUUCCUUUCCUUAUAGCUACUUCUCUCUUUAGAACUUCUGGGAAGGGAUGGGGGAGCUAAAGAAAUUUCUUUGGCUCUGUUCUCAUGCAUGCUGGAAUUCCGACAUCUUUGGGUUGUUUGGAAGCUUUGCUCAUAUGCUGAAGAGGUUUGAAAAUGUCUAUUGUAGGGCUGUAAUACUCUACCUUUUAGGGGAAGAUUUUGAAAAGUGCAAGUAGGACAAGGGGACCCAUUUUCUUUCCCUCUUCCUGUUGUUCAGAAUCCAGAUCUUAUAUAUGCACUUGAAAUUAUAUCAAGAUCUCUGAAGAAUUUAAAUGUACAAACAAAAAUGCUUUGUUCUACUUUGAUUCUCCUUAUGCUGCUGCACUUUUUUGAAUUGGAAUGAAUCUUGCAUUUUAGGAAGUCUGCUUCCUGUAUUCCAAACAGCCCUUUUAAUAUGAGACAGCACUAAUAUGAAUUGUCAAAGCUCAUAGGGAGUUUUGUCUGCGAGGACUGAAAUAUAGUAUCUGAAAGACA